GAGGCCGGGUCUUUCUCGUCCUAGCCGCCCUAGAGCGCCCUGCUGCUGGGUGCAGUCUUGAGCACCUUCCAUCCCGGUGGACUCUGGACCAAGAGUGUCCCUAGCUGGGACACUUCGGUGACCCACAUCCUGUUCUGCCUGGGUUGUUGCCCCGCCCCUCCCACUGGGUGCGGAGGGGAAUUUCGGGGGAAUCCAACAGACUUCCUAAAUGUGUUACUGGGUGGGUGUCCCAACACCCGCGGCGCGACCCUGGCCUCAGGAGGAACGGGCCCUCAGGUGAGACGUCCUUCCCAUUCAGUGCCACAAGGGCGAAUUUGACCUUGACCCCUAACCUUAGCGCUGAAGGCUGCAGGGCAAAGAGCUGGGCAAGCCAAGGGCCACUGGGUGGGCCCGGGGCGCCGGGGACCGUACUCGGGGCGCCCCGCACCUGUCCUGCCCUCCUCUGUCGUCCCAGCUCAGUCCAUCUCCAGCUUGAAACUGAAACCACCAUGGCGAAAUGAAACCAGAGCCCGGGCCCUGCAGCGGGCGGAAGGGGACAGCACCGCAGACGCCGGGGGCCCACGUGGCAGGCCACUGCGGGGGGCGGGGGGCGGGCGCGGAGGCGAGUCCUGCUGCCCAAAUUGUGUUGAUUUUUUUUUUUUUUUUAAAGAAGGAACCCGUGGGGACAACUGCCCCUGCAGCCAUGUCCUCUUCCAUACCCUGCCUGCCUGGCAGCCCCAAGGACUCUCCUUACUGCUACAUAAUGGAACGCAAGGGCACUGAUCUCAUUCAUUUGGGGGGCUCUCUUUAGUCUCCCCUGGUCAUCCUAGAUCGGAGAAUCCAGUGUGGCCUCAGGCGACCAAGCAUACUUGUGGGAAGGGCAGCCAAAGACUAUGACUUGCCCACCAAGUGCAUUUUUUUAGGGAAGGAACAGCAAAAAGUCAACUGCAGCAUGCAAGACUGAAGGUAGACUCUAGCCAGCUUCUCUGCACUGUGUAUCCUGGGCCAUGACACAGGCUUCGAUGCAUCUUUGGCCCUGCAGGGUGCUGGGCAAGGUCCUCCCUGGCUUCCACAUGCUCCUUGCUGCUGGGAACUGCCCCAGUUGUAGUUGUCACAUAUGUCCCCAGACAUGACAGAAGGUUCUCUUGGAGGGUUUGGGCCAGGAGGCCCCACCACAGUGUAGAGAAAUAAGGCAUUUACAAGCACGUAUAGGAAGCCACCCAGAAUUAAACACAGCCCACUCCCACCUUCUGCCCAUUGAUAAAUGCUCGUCCCCUACCCAGGGUCUCAGGUAGUACAGGGUGUCCCAAAUUCACAUGGGAGCUAAGGAUGACCUUGAACUCCCCCUGACCCGCCUGCCUCCACCUCUCCAGUGGUGGGACAACAGGCAUAUGCCACUUGUCUAGCGCUUCCCUCUCUUCCUGAGUUCCAACCCUGCCUUCUCUACACAGUGAACGCCAGGAGACUGAGACCCUGACUCACAAAACCAAAAAUGAAUGAAUGAAUGAAUUAAUUAAUUAAUUUAAAGAAAAUAAUGGAAAAUAGUUUCCAGGGACUUAGGCAGUGGGUAAAGCCCUUGCCUGACAUCCAAGCACAAAGCUCAGAAAUUCAAAGCCAUCCUCAGCUACAGAGUAAGUUCCAGGCCAGCCUGGGCUACAUGAGACCAUGUCUUUAAAACAAAACAAAACAACCCAUCGAGAACCUACUAAAUAAAGUAAAUUUCGCAUCUG
rnacentral:lncRNA from 1 species